rnacentral:lncRNA from 1 species
AGGAAAUGGCAGAGCAUCUCAGAGCCAUCUCAUGAAGUCAGACUUUGAUUAUCUAUAAGAUAGGUAAUUGGAGUGACUCAUUCCAGUGUUUACUGUCCAUAUUGACUAUUUCAUUGACAAGAGAUUGAAAUUCGUUCAACAUUUGGAUGUUGAUUUCCACUGUUAACAUAGAGAAAUAACAACCAGCCUGGGUCGAAUCCCACUGGCUUCGUUUAAGCACUUUAUGGGUAUUAACUCAUGUUAAUACACUGCAGAGUAUGAAGUGUUUUGAGCUGAUUGCAGAUGAGGAAACUGAGCCACGCUGUUGGGUGAUUCUGAAGAGGACAUGGAGGAGCAUUCUCAAGAACAGAG